GUGCCAGCAGCCGCGGUAAUACGGGCAGCUCGAGUGAUGACCGAUUUUAUUGGGCCUAAAGCGUCCGUAGCUGGCCGCGCAAGUCUAUCGGAAAAUCCACCCGCCCAACGGGUGGGCGUCCGGUGGAAACUGUGUGGCUUGGGACCGGAAGGCGCGACGGGUACGUCCGGGGUAGGAGUGAAAUCCUGUAAUCCUGGACGGACCGCCGAUGGCGAAAGCACGUCGCGAGGACGGAUCCGACAGUGAGGGACGAAAGCCAGGGUCUCGAACCGGAUUAGAUACCCCCGUAGUCC
rnacentral:rRNA from 1 species